CGGCAGGCCUAACACAUGCAAGUCGUACGUUAAAGGGGCUUCGGCCCUGAGUAAAGUGGCGCACGGGUGAGUAACACGUGAAUAAUCUGCCCCCGUGUCCGGGAUAACAGACCGAAAGGACUGCUAAUACCGGGUAAGCCCCCGCACCAACCGGGUGAGCGGGGAAAAGUACGGGACCGCAAGGCCGUAUGCGUGGGGAUGAGCUCGCGUCCCAUUAGAUAGUUGGUGAGGUAAUGGCUCACCAAGUCGACGAUGGGUAGCUGGUCUAAGAGGAUGAUCAGCCACACUGGAACUGAGACACGGUCCAGACUCCUACGGGAGGCAGCAGUGGGGAAUCUUGCGCAAUGGAGGAAACUCUGACGCAGCCAUGCCGCGUGAGUGAUGAAAGGCCCUCGGGUUGUAAAGCUCUGUCUGAGGGGACGAAUGGCCAGUGUGCCAACAGUACACUGGAUUGACGGUACCCUCAAAGAAAACACCGGCUAACUCCGUGCCAGCCGCUGC
rnacentral:rRNA from 1 species